UACGUAGGGGGCUAGCGUUGUCCGGAUUUAUUGGGCGCAAAGAGCGUGUAGGCGGCCAUGUAGGUCCGGUGUGAAAACUCGAGGCUUAACCUCGAGAUGUCAUCGGAAACCAUUUGGCUAGAGUCCGGAAGAGGAGAGCGGAAUUCCGUGGUGUAGCGGUGAAAUGCGCAGAUAUCAGGAAGAACACCAACGGCGAAGGCAGCUCGCUGGGACGGUACUGACGCUGAGACGCGAAAGCUAGGGGAGCGAACAGG
rnacentral:rRNA from 1 species